UACGGGGGGAGCAAGCGUUGUUCGGAUUUACUGGGCGUAAAGGGCGCGUAGGCGGUCAGCACAAGUCAGUUGUGAAAUCUCCGGGCUUAACUCGGAAAGGUCAACUGAUACUGUGCGACUAGAGUGCGGAAGGGGCAACUGGAAUUCUUGGUGUAGCGGUGAAAUGCGUAGAUAUCAAGAGGAAUACCUGCGGCGAAGGCGGGUUGCUGGGCCGACACUGACGCUGAGGCGCGAAAGCCAGGGGAGCGAACGGG
rnacentral:rRNA from 1 species